GAUUAACGCUGGCGGCGUGCAUAACACAUGCAAGUCGAACGAUGAAACUUAAAUGAUUUCUUCGGAAUGAACUUAAGUGGAUUAGUGGCGGCCGGGGGAGUAACGCGUGAGUAACCUGCCUUACACAAGGGGAUAGCCGUUGGAAACGACGAAUAAUACCCUAUGACACUAUCCCUUCGCAUGAAGCGAUAGUCAAAUUGUUAGUGGUGUAAUAUGGACUUGCGUCUGAUGUGAUAGUUGGAGAGAAAAACGCCCUCAAAGGCAAAUAGCAGACGCUGGCGUGGGAGAGUGGACGGCAACAUUGGGACAGAGACACGGCCCAAACUCCUCGGGGAGGCAGCAGUGGUGAAGUUGGCACAAUGGGGGAAACACGGAGGCAGCGACGCCGCGUGAUUCAGAAGGCCUUCGGGUAGUAAAAUUCUUUUGUAUAGGAAGAAAAUGACAGUACUAUACGAAUAAGGCCCGGCUAAUUACGUG
rnacentral:rRNA from 1 species